UUUUUCUAUUUCUACCAUAAAUAGAAAUAGCAUGAUCACUGAUUAUUUCGAUAUAACAUUGUCAAACUGUGCAUCGAAAUUUAAUCGUUGAAAAAUCUUCGUCAAUUAAUAAAUGCUAAAGAAACAUUACUAAUAAUAAAAAUUGAAUUUAUUCGUCCCACUCAAUUUCUCAGAAAAACUGGCCCUAUGUGUGAUCUCGUAGCAAGCGUGUGGACGACUGUCUGACUCAAUAGAAUAAAGAUUAUUCAAUAAACACAAGUCUACAAGAUCGAUUCAUCUCAGAAAUUCCGCACAUUUCGUACAGAAAUAGGAGAAAUAUAUAAUAUAUAAAAUAGUUAGCUUUGAAGAGAAAGGGAGGAAGAAGGAAUGAGAGCAGGGAGUUCCGCUAAGUAUAUCAGGCCUCUCCACCAACUCUUCCUAAUUAAGCUCGGGAGCCGAGGCCGAGUGAAGUGAAGCGAGGUUGCCGAACCCUGGUCUAAUCCCCUUCAACGGUGAACCAUAUCAUUCAAAGAGGUUAGCAGCAAAUUAUAGAGGAAUAUCGCUGCUAGAUAUAGGCUAUAAGGUACUGACAGGAAUAAUGGCCAGGAGGCUAGGGAAAUGGCUAGAUGAGGAAGGAAAGCUGACGGAAGCACAGGCAGGAUUCAGGAGAAAGAGAGGCACAAUGGAGCAGGGAAAGGAACGACGGGAGAGUUCAUGACAGGAAAAGGAGUUAGACAAGGCUGCCCGCUUAGCCCAUUACUCUUCAACAUUUUCAUUCAGGACUUGGUAGAGGAUUUAGAGAAAAAGAAGGAAGGCGGAAUGGCGAUUGAUGCGAGGGUGGGGGGAAAGGUCUAUACGCUAUUAUACGCGGACGACGCGGCCUUGAUAUUUAAUGGAAUAAAAUGGAUAAAGAGAGACGGCCAAGGAGAUGUAUGCGAGAAGAACUAAGGGGAAUCAAGAACGGUGAGGCAACAAGGUGGGGACAAGAGAUGGUAAAGAAACUAAGUGAAUUAGGGGAUGGACAGUUCCUGGAAAUGCUGUGGAACGAGAAAAACGAGGAAGCAAUAGAGAGGAUAGAGGAAAUGACACAGAUCUUGGGAGAUCAAGAGGCACAAAAGGACUGGGAAAGAAUUGAAAGAUCAAGAUACUGUAGCUACUAUAAGGAAAUAAAGGACAAUGCAACGAUUGAAGGGUACUAGCAGGACGGGAAACUAGGACUAGAACAGAAAAUGAUAUGGGCAAGGUGGAGAUGCGGGAACGCACUAAGAGGCGACAGAACAGGGAUUAUAGAAGACACAUGCAGAGCAUCCAAGAAAGAGAAGGAAGCGCUGGAACAUGUGAUAAAUUGCGGGGUACUAAUGGGGAGGCUAGAAGAGGAGGAAGAGAGCUGGUGGAAACAGUGGAGGCAACAGAGCAGCGACGGAGCAUGGAGAGAGAGAAUCGUGGAAAUGCUGAGGGGACAGACGGAUAGAAAGGUAUGUGGAAGGUUAGGAAAGAUAGAGAAAAAACUGAGGGAAAUGGAGGAGGAAAGGAGGAAGGACUAAAAGAGAGACUGAAAUAGAUAUAAGAAAGACGAAAGGAGAGGGACUAGGAAGCAAGGAAAGGAGCGGAACAACUGUGAUAAACAGAAGGAUACAAGGAAGGGAUGAAUAUAUAGUAAAUGAUAAGGACAUAAAAUGCUAUGAAAAUGUUAUUAAGUAUAUUAAAUUUAUAUAUGGUUGAUCUUAUACUAACGAAAAGAAAGAGGAA